UGCCAAUCGAACGCGGAGAUAGCUGGUACUCCCCGAAAUAGCUUUAGGGCUAGCCUCAGGGAAGAUUAUAGACGGUAGAGCACUGAUCUGGCAAGGGGGCGUAAAGCCUACCGACCCUAGUCAAACUUCGAAUGGCUAUAAUUAAGACCCUGGGAGUCAGACUGCGAGUGAUAAGACCCGUAGUCAAGAGGGAAACAGCCCAGACCGCCGACUAAGGUCCCCAAUGCUGUACUAAGUGGAAAAGGAUGUAAGACUUCAUAAACAACCAGGAUGUUGGCUUAGAAGCAGCCACCAUUAAAAGAGUGCGUAAUAGCUCACUGGUCGAGAGGCCUUGCGCCGAAGAUGUCCGGGGCUCAAGUACAGAACCGAAGUCGCGGCAGGAUUAUAUAAUUCUGGGUAGGGGAGCGUUGUAUAUCCGACUGAAGGUGUACCGGAAGGAGCGCUGGAGGAUAUACAAGAGAGAAUGCCGGUAUGAGUAGCGAAAAGAACAGUGAGAAUCUGUUCCACCGAAAGCCUAAGGUUUCCUGAGCAACGCUCGUCGACUCAGGGUAAGUCGGGACCUAAGCCGAGGCAAAAAGCAUAGGCGAUGGACAACAGGUUAAUAUUCCUGUACCGCUUCAAAUCGUUUGAGCAAUGGAGUGACACAGAAGGUAGCUUGAGCACGCGAAUGGAUGUGCGUGUCGAAGGUGGUAGGUUGCAGUAUAGGUAAAUCCGUACUGUAUAAGACCGAGAACUGAUAGAUAGACGAUACUUCGGUAAAGUCAAAUUCAAGUGAGCCAUGCUGUCGAGAAAAGCUUCUAGUGAGAGAUGAGGCGCCCGUACCGAAACCGACACAGGUAGGCGGGGAGAGAAUCCUAAGGUGCGCGGGACAACCCUCGUUAAGGAACUCGGCAAAUUGUAUCCGUAACUUAGGGAUAAGGAUAGCCGGAGGAUGUGAAGGGAUUUACUUCUGGAGCGUCAGCCGGUGGCACAAGAGAGGCCCAAGCGACUGUUUAGCACAAACACAGGUGCCUGCAAAAGAGAAAUCUGACGUAUAGGUGCUGACACCUGCCCGGUGCUGGAAGGUUAAGAGGAGGGCUUAGAGGAAACUCGAAGGCUUGAAUUGAAGCCCCAGUAAACGGCGGCCGUAACUAUAACGGUCCUAAGGUAGCGAAAUUCCUUGUCGGGUAAGUUCCGACCCGCACGAAAGGUGUAACGACUUGGGCACUGUCUCAACGAGGGACCCGGUGAAAUUGAAGUACCUGUGAAGAUGCAGGUUACCCGCGACUGGACAGAAAGACCCCAUGGAGCUUUACUGCAACCUGACAUUGAUGUUCGGUAAAUAACGUACAGGAUAGGUGGGAGACGGAGAAGUAUUGGCGUUAGCUGAUAUGGAGUCAACCUUGGGAUACCACCCUUUAUUUAUUGGACCUCUAACUGAAGAAGUAACGACUCUCAGGACAGUAUCAGGCGGGCAGUUUGACUGGGGCGGUCGCCUCCCAAAAUGUAACGGAGGCGCCCAAAGGUUCCCUCAGCGCGAACGGAAACCGCGCAAAGAGUGUAAAGGCAGAAGGGAGCUUGACUGCGAGUCAGACACGACGAGCAGGUACGAAAGUAGGGCUUAGUGAUCCGGUGGUUCCGAGUGGAAGGGCCAUCGCUCAACGGAUAAAAGCUACCCUGGGGAUAACAGGCU
rnacentral:rRNA from 1 species